UGAGGAAUAUUGGUCAAUGGGGGCAACCCUGAACCAGCCAAGUCGCGUGAAGGAUGAAGGUCUUAUGGAUUGUAAACUUCUUUUACACGGGAAUAAAGGGGGGGACGUGUCCCCCUUUGCAUGUACCGUGUGAAUAAGGAUCGGCUAACUCCGUGCCAGCAGCCGCGGUAAUACGGAGGAUCCGAGCGUUAUCCGGAUUUAUUGGGUUUAAAGGGUGCGCAGGCGGGAUGUUAAGUCGGCGGUGAAAUUUUGCAGCUCAACUGUAAAAGUGCCUUCGAUACUGGCUUCCUUGAGUGUAGAUGAANUAGGCGGAAUUUGUGGUGUAGCGGUGAAAUGCUUAGAUAUCACGAGGAACUCCGAUUGCGCAGGCAGCUUACUAAACUACAACUGACGCUCAUGCACGAAGGCGUGGGGAUCAAACA
rnacentral:rRNA from 1 species